rnacentral:rRNA from 1 species
AAAUUGAAGAGUUUGAUCAUGGCUCAGAUUGAACGCUGGCGGCAGGCCUAACACAUGCAAGUCGAACGGUAACAGGAAGCAGCUUGCUGCUUCGCUGACGAGUGGCGGACGGGUGAGUAAUGUCUGGGAAACUGCCUGAUGGAGGGGGAUAACUACUGGAAACGGUGGCUAAUACCGCAUAACGUCGCAAGACCAAAGAGGGGGACCUUCGGGCCUCUUGCCAUCAGAUGUGCCCAGAUGGGAUUAGCUUGUUGGUGAGGUAACGGCUCACCAAGGCGACGAUCCCUAGCUGGUCUGAGAGGAUGACCAGCCACACUGGAACUGAGACACGGUCCAGACUCCUACGGGAGGCAGCAGUGGGGAAUAUUGCACAAUGGGCGCAAGCCUGAUGCAGCCAUGCCGCGUGUAUGAAGAAGGCCUUCGGGUUGUAAAGUACUUUCAGCGGGGAGGAAGGUGUUGCGGUUAAUAACCGCAGCAAUUGACGUUACCCGCAGAAGAAGCACCGGCUAACUCCGUGCCAGCAGCCGCGGUAAUACGGAGGGUGCAAGCGUUAAUCGGAAUUACUGGGCGUAAAGCGCACGCAGGCGGU